CUGCGGUGUCAGGGGCGCAGCAAGCCCAGGCUGCUUUCCUCUAAAAAAUUGGUAAUUUUCCCCAUUCGCAAUGCUUUGAAUUUUAGAUGCUCCUUCUCGGACUGACCCGGUGGCGACUAACGCAGGACGUGGCAGCAGACUUUCUCACCAGUUGCUCUGCCACGAGCGUCAGGUAGGGCGAGUACUGCUCGCUCGUGAUUUCAGACGUUUAACUUCUGGGUGUGAUUUUACGGCUGGAAUGGCUUGAGAUGAAUCCAUCGAAGGCAGGGUGUCAGGAUUAGGUUGCUUGGUCAGCGUGAGGCAGCUGAGUUACCCGUAAGGAGAUAAAUCGGAAGUCGUGAUGAUGAACUGCCUUCGUUUCACGUGAUGCUUUGAAACAGAGCUGCAGUAGGCUGGUGUUACUGGUAAACUCCACGAACCAGUAAUUAAAACCUAUCAGAAGGGGACAGGGUGGGCUUUAGCGGAGGGGUGCUUUGCAAGGAGUCAUUUAAAAGCUGCUAAAACCUCACAACUCUCAGCUAAAACCUCACAACUCGCUUUGCCAUAGAGCCGCGGCACAGGACAGGUGGGCGUACGUUCCCGCUGCCUUUUUGCGCUUUUAAACGCACCCUUUGGGAGCUGUCUCCUUGUUCUUGCGCUCGGGGGGCCGCGGUUCCUUCUUAAACUCAUUUGACCCCAGCUCAGCAGCGGACACCCAGCUCAGGGUGGAAACGCCGAGCGGUGCCGGGAGCGAGGGAGCAGGAGUCGUGGUGCCGGGGCAACGCCGGCCUGCGCUCGCGUGCUGUAGGGGAAGGUAAGAGCUCUGCUUUGGGGGCUGGAAAGGGAAAGGAGCUGCUUGUGAAACACCACCAGCAGCUUCACGCGAGGCAGCUGGACGUUGUGCGCGCUGCGCAGCCGGGUUUCUGUCGACGGCAGUUCGGCUCAGUGUGGUCUCGAAUGUGCCUUAAAGCAAGCUCUGUAAAGUGAAGAAUUAAAAGGGAUCGGAAUCUGCUUUAGUGUUGCUUUUUCCCUUGUGCAGACACAAAGUAUUCAGCGGCUGAAAAUGUGGGCAGGGAAUGUCAGGAAUCCUCAGUUUCCUCCCCAGUUGUAGCAGGCGCUUCGGGCUCCUGCCUCGAGUUUUCCCCGCAGAAAGUUGGUUCCCCGUUUCGCAACACGGUGGUUGCUUCAGAAGAGCAAAAACAUUUGGUGCUGCACUGAUCGAGUGUUUCCCUCCCCCCGUUGUAACAGCUUGAACCGAUCGUUUUCCAAAACCGUUUUACUUUACCCAGAUGUGUUUUAGGGCUUUCAGCCAGCGCGGCGUUUGUACCUGUGCAGCGCAUCGCAGGAGGUGAGGGUGAUCCGGGAGCUCGUGGAAGGUGGGUUUGAGUACUGAACUGGUGGGCAAGCUGCGGCUGGCGUGGAUCCUCAGCAGAGGCGGGGAUGGCAAGGCUCCGGUCUCUUUUAUCCAGACUUAUGCCACCGGGCGAGGUUGCCGCGGGUGCCUGGUCGCUGCGACCAGGCACGGCUCCGAACUCGGCUGCUGCGGGAGCUGCCAGGCACGGCGGGAGGCACGGCUGCUUCCCCAUCUCCGCGCCGAGCCGACUGUCCCCGAAAUAACGGGAUUGCCAGAGCUGGUCGGGUUGCUGGGGCUGGCAGGGCGGUUGCAGGCUGCUCUCCCUGCAGCAGGGACCCGCGGGGUUCGCUCCCCGCGCGGCGGCUUUCGGCGUGCUGGCCGACACCCCGCGCCUCGCAGGGGAGGGCAACGUGCAGAAACGGGAUCGGUGGGGGGAUUGAACGUUGUUGGUUUGGGAUUUGGGGUGUUACUCCGUGGCUAGAACAGCGCGCGGGUUUCCUGGCCGGAUCCUUCCUGCACAGCACGUCUCGAGGCGUUCGCUGUGCCGGCGCGGUCCUGGGGUUCAGGGUGCUCGCUGGCAUCUUACACGGUCACACCUGGGUGGGCUUGGAAAGGAGGAGGUUUGGAGGACUCUCGCCUUACAGGAGUUACCUAAAAACUUUGAUCAUCCGCCAGCUGCUGUGGUCCUGCUGCUAAGUGGCUUUUCUCUCCUGGCUCUGUUCUCCCUGCUCAAUAGGAUGGCAUCAUCUAGUGGUUACAUCAGGCCUCCGGGAUGCGGUGGCCUCGCUUCUGCUGUGCUCGCCCGGGCUCGCGCUGCAACGUAUGUGGUGUAUACGCACAGACGUCUGCGGGCGUGUUCCUCCCUUUUCUCGGUGCUGAAAUCAAUCUGAAUACAGCUGGGGCUGCAGCGGGGGAUGGCGGCGUGUGGCCACGCGUGGGGUUUUGUCGGUAGUUUGUCCUGAGACUUUUUGUUCCUCACUCCCGUGCGUUGUGUUUCCAAUCUGGUAAAGUUAAUGUUUUUGUAAGUUAAAACGGUUUGCAAAAAAAAACACUUCACAACUGCAAGGGCACUGUGGAAACCCAGCACUUCAGCUGAUGGUUUUUCUCUUUCUUACCGCCUUGGCGUUGUUCUUACUUAGGACACACUUGUUCCGAGUGAAGUUCGUUAGCAGAAAACUCGUUUGGUCCUCUCUGAGGGUCCCAUCGUGGUUUGAGCCCACGAAUAACGCAGUUUUGGCUCGGUCUUGGCUGCCGAGCUCAGCACAAACCUGCAGCAUUUUGACCCGUGGUGCCUCCAGAGCGAGCGGAGGGCUCUCUCUCCACUCCUCGUUCAGCCGUGGUAUCGUUACAACCCCGUCCCACUUCUGAGGUGAAGCUCGGUGCGUUUCGAGCCUGAUUUGAGCCGAUGGAAGCCGCCGUGGUCCCCGUGCAGCUGUGCCGAUGGUGCCCAUCUCGGCCGGGCGCAUCCGAGAGCUCGGCUCCGUCCCUCCUGCAGCCGCCGUCCUCCGAGCCGCGGCCGAGGGGAGCCCGUUGCUGUCCUGGCAAGAAAAA